ensembl:lncRNA
CUCAGCUCCCAAAGGCAAGUCAUUAGUCAGGAAUCUCAGGUUCCAUUACGAAAAAAGAAAUGUUUCCAGACCUCAAAAAUGCUCAGAAAAAAAAAAAAAAACAGAGUUUGAAAAGGAAAAUCCAUUCUAAAGGUUAAAAAACAGCAAGAGAAAAAAAGGGUCUCGUCAUUAAGAAAUAAGAAAUGAAACUUCACUCCAAGGUUGUUAUUAUUUUUAAAAGUAAUAAUUACCUUCUUUUUCCCACAAAGAGGGAAUAGGAGGUGAUGAAGCUUGAGUCAUUGUCUGGGACUACUAAUAUUGAAUUCUACAGUUAAUUUGACAAAUAAAAUCAGAUUAGUAUAAAGAGGUCAAAAUCUCAUAUGAAGGAGGAAGGUUAAUAACAAAACAUGCUUAUUGUUCUAAUGCCUGUUAUGAAUGUCUCAGAUUAAUUGAAAUUUAAUUCUGUUUUGGUUUUGCCAUUGUUUGCACAGCAAUAAGAGAACAUCAGACACUUUACAAACGCUGACGGCUGACUUAGCUGGAAUACAAAUACACGACCUUUAUAUGAGGGAUGGAAGCUGAGCAUUUAAUCAUGUUCUCCGAUUGGUCCCAGGCUGUACCUUUUGCGAGGCUGAAUAGCAUUACAGUCACAAAAUGCACGCUUUGUGGAGUGCUGGCACCAGAGGAAGACAGGCGGAUUCAGUCCAACAAUAGCUUUCCUGUUCCUACAGGACAGCUUGUGUCUUUACUAGCAAAAUGCUGAAGUGCCAUCAAUUCCUUGCGUGUGUCUUUGCUCCCAUGACCUCCUCUGACGGCGUCUUUCAAAGAAUUUAUUACUACACCAUGAACCUUUAGGAAAGAACACCACUACAGAGGACACCAUAUAAACAACCACUGCAGAGACAUGCUGUCCAGAGAGGGCCUGCAGAUUACAGCUGAGAAUUCAGGAAGCAAUAUCCCAGGUUAGAAAGUGGACGAACAGGACUAGGUGGAGAGAGUAAGGCCACAGACUGGUCUAGACAUAGAAGAGUGGCCAUUAACGAGUUUGGAAUUUUAUUUAUUUAAGUAUUUAUUUAACACAAUCCACUGAAGUGCCACAUUUAGAUUAGAUGUUGGUGGAAACUUUUUGCUGAGAGGGCGGUGAGGCGCUGGCACAGCUGCCCAGAGAAGCUGUGGUGCCCCAUCCCUGGAGGUGCUCAAGGCCAGGUUGGAAUGGGCCCUGGGCAGCCUGAGCUGGUGGGUUGGAAUCAGAUGACCUUUGAAGUCUCUUCUAACGCAAGCCAUUCUAUGUUUCUAUGGUUCUAUGAAAAGCUUAUUGUUUAAAGAGAUGCUUUGCCUUUUGUAAAGCCAUGUGUGCGUGUGAUCUGAAACAACAGCUUAUGAUGGUUCAGCAAGUGUUGGAAAGGACACGUGAAGCAACAGGGAAGCCUGUAACAGUCACAGCUGUGGGGAACUUUCCCAUGUGAUGGAGAUUUAGGGGUUGGGCUCUGCACGAGAGAGUGCUUUCAGCUGCAUUUUAGGGUGAGCCACAAGCUUGAGUGGGGAGCUCUUGCUGCAUGGCAGUUUUGUUCUUUUAUAGUGACCAGGAUGAGUCUUUUGCUGCGGGUGAACAAGUCCUGACAGCUUUCAUGGUUAACCAGAUUAGCCUGGGGAGAUACAGCCUUCCCCCAGCUCCACUGCUGCUGUGCAAGAUCUCUCCUGGUGCAACAAUAAGCAUGACAGCUUGUGCAGAUACAGAAGACAGCAGUUAGGAGGUUUCUGUGGCAAGUGACUGGUGUGAUGUGGCAUUGCCCACUGCUUCCCUGCUUCCAAGCAAACCUUCUGAAGUUGAAGAGUUGAAUUCUUCCAGCUGUGCUGAAACACUGUCCAAAAUGAUAGACAAUGAAGGUGACAUCCCAAAGUAACAGACCGCAAAUAACUACACUGGUCAAUAAAACCUUACUGACUUUCGUUGAUUUUUUUGUCUAGAUAAAGUAUGGGGUCACUUUUGCUUGAUAAAGUCUGUAAGAUCUGUAAUCUUCCAGUACUGAUAGGCCAAACAGCCCUCUUGUUUGAGAAGCCUUGCUAUGCGUAAUGACUUAAUUCCUCUGUUCUAGACUUGCUCAACAUGAAGUCAUUAAAGUUUCUUGUAGCCUUCUUUUUUCUCUACCCUGCUUCACAGUCAUCCUUUUACAUGUACAGUUCCUAUACCCUGAAACAUGUCUCCCUUUUAAUUCACCCGAUCCUCCUCCACACAGCCGCCUUACACAUAACUUUAUUCCCCUUGAACAUUCUCCUCACCUUCAGAAAAAAAAAAGACUAGUCCCUCUACCUAACUCUACCAUCUCUGAUGUUUCACGUCUCUUAACGUUCAAUUCCUCAUCUUCUCCUACUCACUUUGCAAUACCUGUGGAAUAGGAAUACGUGGGACACAGGUUGUUUAAUUCUGAGGCAAAGAGCACUCCACAGUUUAAGACUAAUCAGAUUUUAGUCAGAUGAGGGCAGUGUUAGGAAACAUGUUGGUUCCCAGUGCCACAUUCACUGCUUAUCCUCCCAGUACUUACGUAUCAUGUUUGCAUUAUAAAAU